AGAUUUAAAUAAAUGCGCGAGUAACCCAUGCAAGAAUGGUGCCACUUGUCAUAAUGGACAAAAUGAGUACACAUGCACGUGCAUAGCCGGUUGGCAUGGAUUCAACUGUGACCAAGAUUUAAAUGAAUGCGCGAGUAACCCAUGCAAGAAUGGUGCCACUUGUCAUAAUGGACAAAAUGAGUACACAUGCACGUGCAUAGCCGGUUGGCAUGGAUUCAACUGUGACCAAGAUUUAAAUGAAUGCGCGAGUAACCCAUGCAAGAAUGGUGCCACUUG